GCGGGUAUUGCAUAGUGGUAGUGCGCAACCUUCCCAAGGUUGAAGCGAGGGUUCGAUUCCCUUUACCCGCU
rfam:Parcubacteria (Wolfebacteria) bacterium GW2011_GWC2_39_22 TT41_C0001, whole genome shotgun sequence.